UACGGGGGGAGCAAGCGUUGUUCGGAUUUACUGGGCGUAAAGGGCGCGUAGGCGGCCACUGCAAGUCGGUUGUGAAAUCUCCGGGCUUAACCCGGAAAGGUCAAUCGAUACUGCAGGGCUAGAGUGCAGAAGGGGCAACUGGAAUUCUCGGUGUAGCGGUGAAAUGCGUAGAUAUCGAGAGGAACACCUGCGGCGAAGGCGGGUUGCUGGGCUGACACUGACGCUGACAGCGCGAAAGCUAGGGGAGCGAAUGGG
rnacentral:rRNA from 1 species